UACGUAGGGGGCGAAGCGUUAUCCGGAAUUAACUGGGCGGUAAAGGGUAGGCGUAGGCGGGUUUAUUCAAGUCAGGGGUGGAAAGGCUACGGCUCAACCGUAGUGAGCCUCUGAAACUAGGUGAACUUGAGUGUAGGAGAGGAAAGUGGAAUUCCCAGUGUAGCGGUGAAAUGCGUAGAUAUUGGGAGGAACACCAGUGGCGAAGGCGACUUUCUGGACUACAACUGACGCUGAGGCACGAAAGCGUGGGGAGCAAACAGGAUUAGAUACCCGGGUAGU
rnacentral:rRNA from 1 species